CCUAAUGGAAAAUUGACCUUAGCUAGCCCUAAACGUGGUCAGAAGAGGGAGGAAGGAUGGAAGGAGGUUGUAAGAAGGUAAGUCCAAAUCCGUGAUGGUGGUAAUUGCCAGUGAUUCUCUACCUCAUCCACCCACCCAUCUCUAGUCCCUGCUUUGAAUAUUUUACUUUAAACCAUGUUUGCAUUGCUGGCAAAAUUAGUCAUGGUAUGGCCGUUUCAUUCCCCGGUCGUCAAAGUCUGUAACUUCCAAGAGAUAGUAUUAGAGCCUGUUUUCGGUGCCAGCACCUGAGAAGCAGGAUAUGAAUACAUUUACCAUGCAAGUGUCUUCCUGUUUUCUUUUUCUCUUUCUCUUCAGCUUUUUGUGUAGACUCGGGACACUUUCACAGCUACAACUAUUAGCAGAGUGCUUCAGUGCUUUGUUUCAGCCAAAGCUUUCUAACCGCAGUCUCCAAAGGCCACGUACAGGGGACCCUCCGGAUACGAAUUAAAUUCAUUCCUGGGUUCCGUACUUAACCUGAAAAGUCCGUAGCUGGAGGCGUUGCUUCUGCGCACGCACGCGAUGUGAUCGAGUGCUUCUGUGCGCACACGCACAGCGAAACCCAGAAGUAUACACUUCCGGGUUUGCAACCCGAAAGUUACGUAUCCAGAACGGUAUGUAACUCGAGGGUCCACUGUAUUAGCUUUUCUGUUUUUACAUUUGAAAGGUUGAUGGACAGGAGAAUGUCUUGUAAGAAUGCUUUUUUUCUUCACUAAAUAUCUAUAGGGUGAAUUCCAUUGAUGUCUUGCUUGCGCAAUGGGACUUCCAGUUUCUCUCUUUUGCCCUCCAGCCCCCAGAGCAGAUUUGGUGGGGUGCAGGGGACUAAAGGGGAGAGGAGAGAAAGAAGAAGCCCAGUUGCGGAAGCAGACACCUGCCUGUGCUACGUUGGAUCGCAUCCAUAGCCAGCCUUUGGGCCGCUUUGAUUUCAGGCAUGGCAUACAUGUUACAAAGCUUACAAACCGCCGGCGCAUCUCAUUGCAGCAUAUAUACUUGCUUCCGACCAUGCGCUACCAAACUUUUAAGUAUGAUACAAGUAUACUAUACUAAAUCUGUUCUACCCGAUUGCCGUAAUUUUGUCUCUCUCUUAGAUCAAAGAAGGUUUCUGUUCCAUCAGCUGUCAUUUCCAGAGUAAUUGGAAGAGGUGGUUGCAACAUCAAUGCUAUCCGAGAGUUUACUGGCGCGCAUAUAGACAUUGAUAAGCAGAAAGACAAAACGGGGGACAGAAUCAUAACAAUAAGG